rnacentral:rRNA from 1 species
UCUUGGUCAUUUAGAGGAAGUAAAAGUCGUAACAAGGUUUCCGUAGGUGAACCUGCGGAAGGACCAUUAGUGAAUAUAGGACAUCCAACUUAACUUGGAGACCGAACUCUCACUUUCUAACCCUGUGCACUUGUUUGGGAUAGUAACUCUCGCAAGAGAGCGAACUCCUAUUCACUUAUAAACACAAAGUCUAUGAAUGUAUUAAAUUUUAUAACAAAAUAAAACUUUCAACAACGGAUCUCUUGGCUCUCGCAUCGAUGAAGAACGCAGCGAAAUGCGAUAAGUAAUGUGAAUUGCAGAAUUCAGUGAAUCAUCGAAUCUUUGAACGCACCUUGCGCUCCAUGGUAUUCCGUGGAGCAUGCCUGUUUGAGUGUCAUGAAUACUUCAACCCUCCUCUUUCUUAAUGAUUGAAGAGGUGUUUGGUUUCUGAGCGCUGCUGGCCUUUACGGUCUAGCUCGUUCGUAAUGCAUUAGCAUCCGCAAUCGAACUUCGGAUUGACUUGGCGUAAUAGACUAUUCGCUGAGGAAUUCUAGUCUUCGGAUUAGAGCCGGGUUGGGUUAAAGGAAGCUUCUAAUCAGAAUGUCUACAUUUUAAGAUUAGAUCUCAAAUCAGUAGGACUACCCGCUGAACUUAAGCAUAUCAAUAAGCGGAGGAA